rnacentral:rRNA from 1 species
AUUGAACGCUGGCGGCAGGCCUAACACAUGCAAGUCUGGCGCGCGGCGGACGGGUGAGUAAUGUAUGGGGAUCUGCCUGAUGGAGGGGGAUAACUAAUGGAAACGGUAGCUAAUACCGCAUACCAGCAUCAGACCCCAUCUGGGAUUUGCUUGUAGGUGAGGUAACGGCUCACCUAGGAGACGGUCCCUAGCUGGUCUGAGAGGAUGAUCAGCCACACUGGGACUGAGACACGGCCCAGACUCCUACGGGAGGCAGCAGUGGGGAAUAUUGCACAAUGGGCGCAAGCCUGAUGCAGCCAUGCCGCGUGUAUGAAGAAGGCCUUCGGGUUGUAAAGUACUUUCAGUCGGGAGGCGUUACCGACAGAAGAAGCACCGGCUAACUCCGUGCCAGCAGCCGCGGUAAUUC